AAAUCAAAUAAAUCAUACUAUAUAUAUAUAUAUAUAAAUGUAUAAAAUAUACACACACAAUUAGCUUUGAAGGAUAGAUUUUCCUCAUUUUGACACUGAUAAAACAAUUAAAUACUAUAAAAAUUCAUCUUAGUAUAGCCAACCUGUGAAAAAACUUGGAGGAAACUUAAAGUCAUAUUGCUAAGUGAAAGAAACUGAUCUGAAAAGGUUGCAUACUGUCAUAUGAUUCUAACUAUAUGACAUUCCAGAAAAGGCAAAGCUAUGGAGAUAGUUAAAAAGAUCAGUGAUUUCCAGAAGGAGGAAAGAACAGGCAGAGCACAGGGUAUAUUCAGGGCAGUGACAAUAGUCUGUAUGAUACUAUAAUGGUGAACACAUCUCGUUAUACAUCUGUCUAGACCCAUGGAAUGCGCAACACCAAGAGUGAACUCUAAUGCAAACUAGGGCUUUUUGUUCAUCAUAAUCUAUCAGUAUUGGUUCCUUAUUUGUAACAAGUGUACUACAAUACUGCAAGAUAUUAACAACAGAAGAAACUGUAGGGGAAGGUAAGGGCUAAAUGGAAACUCUCUGUACUUUCUGCUCAACUUUUCUGUAAACUUAAAGCUGCUCUAAAGAUAACAUUUAUUAGUUAAAAAAUUUUAAAAGAUCAGUUGACUAUACAAGCACAUCUUUAGGGUUCUGAACAAAAACCUAUUUCUGAAAUACUGAAUUUGUACGGGGAAAAAAGCAAUAUUCAAUUAAAUAUGAUUGACUUACUAAAACAUUACGUUAGGAACAAAAAUGUAACAUUUAUUCCAAGAAUAUCUUCUGGGAUCAGCUCCAUUCUACUUCCACCAUGCCUACAUUUUCUAAUUCUACUCUAGUUAUGAAUAAACAUGAAGCUUGAUACUCAGGAGUGAAUACGCCCACGGCUUAAGCUGAUUCUAGGUUCUAAUAGAAACAACUCGUAGCUUGAAAGAGGUGUUGUUCUUUUACAAUAAAGCAGAAUCUGGUUCAAUAAUGUAAAAGCAGAGGUAGUCCUGCAGGAAUUAGACUGUGUCAUUUGAUUUUUAUGGGAGUUAUUGUCUAAUGAGAGUUAAUGAUUAAGCACAUUUGGUUGUAUUGUCUUUUGGUUGUUAACCUAUUCUACAAAGUUUAUUACAAAAAAAAAAAAACAAGAAAAGCAUUUCACUUUCAACAUUUUAAGUGAUGCUAUGUUGGAGUCUGUUUCUAAUUAUUUUAAGUUAAAAAUUUUACAUUUUAACAGAUUUUUUUAAAAAUCAGCGUUAUUUUUUAUAAAUAGAAAUCUAUGAACUAAUAGUAUUGAAAAUGUUUUGUACUAAAUAAAGGGAGGCAAAAGCAAAAGUAACUCAGAAAACACCAGGAAGCUACUUUCCUUUCACUCCGCUUUGUGAAUCAAAGUUGAAAAGAAAACCAAUAACAUCAUUGAUAAAUUUAAAAUGAGAAUUUUUUAAUUUUAUUUUUGUCAUGAUAGAAUCGCUAAAUCAACUCUGAGCCUGCUCCUUUAACGUGGAAAUGACUGCAACCAGUAGUACAAAAUUAUGGAAAAAAAAUUCACCAAAUGGGAUUUCAUUUUAAAAUGCAGAUCCCAUUUGAAGAGCUUCACAAAGGAACACUGCCUCUGACAAGUGGAGAAAAAUCUACCCUUCAAAGCUAA
rnacentral:lncRNA from 1 species